GUUUCUGAUACAGGAGUAAACGACACCGUUUCAUUCUCCGAAACCAAUAAUAUUCAGAAUUGAAAGAAAAGCGGUUUUCUAAAAGCCCUAAUUUUUGCUCAGCAUUUCAAACUUGUGAAAAUAAUCUAUCACAGUUAAGCGUUUUUUAAUUGAAGCUUUGCGUUUUCACUUUUAAAUGGCCGAGUCAGGCGAUGCUCAACAGUCAGAGCAAGUUUGCAAUUUCUUUAGAAAGCCAUCAAAGAAUAAAAACAUUAGAAAAAGAACUAUAAAUGAAGAUGAAGACGAAGAUUCAAAAACGGAGAGUUCAGUGUUACAGAACCUCAAAAAGGCACCCAAGUCUGAUGGUCAGCUAUAUUUUUCAACUGGGUCCUCCAAGACUGCUAGGUCCACCGAAUCUAAUGCAGAAACUAAUAAGUCAAUAUUUCAGUUUGAGUCUUCAAAGGAAAUUCAAGUGCAGCAUGACAGCAAAGCAACAGCAACUCUUGAAACUGAGACUGAGUUCUCAAGAGACGCUCGUGCUCUUCGUGAGAAAGUCCUUAAGCAAUCAGAGGAGGCUUUGAAAGGAAAAAGUUCAGGUGAUGAGAAAUUGUAUAAGGGGAUUCAUGGAUAUGUUGAUCACAAGGCUGGGUUCCGAAGAGAGCAUACAAUUUCAAGUGAGAAAGCUGGUGGUUCACAUGGACCACUUAGAGCUUCUGCUCAUAUUAGGGUAUCUGCAAGGUUUGAUUAUCAGCCAGACAUAUGCAAAGAUUACAAGGAGACUGGUUACUGUGGGUAUGGUGACUCAUGUAAGUUUAUGCAUGAUCGAGGGGAUUACAAGUCUGGGUGGCAGAUGGAAAAGGAGUGGGAGGAAGCGGAGAAGGCAAGGAAGAGAAAUUUGGCCAUGGGAGGGAAUGAUGCCGAUGAAAGUGACGAAGUUCCAAGUGACGAAGAUGAUGCUGAUGCAUUACCUUUUGCUUGUUUCAUUUGUAGACAGCCUUUUGUGGAUCCUGUUAUGACUAAAUGCAAGCACUACUUCUGUGAGCAUUGUGCUUUAAAGCAUCAUGCAAAGAACAAGAAGUGCUUCGUUUGCAACCAACCUACACUUGGCAUUUUUAAUACAUCUCAUGAGAUACGCAAAAAGAUGGCUGAAGAGGGUAGAAAAUAAGCUCAUAAACUUCUUUGCCUUUGUUCCUGUGGACCAUAAAUCCCUCGUCAGGGUAAAUCUUUGACACGAGAUCUAUGGGCUGUGCUACCUCCUUUUUUUGUUUACAUUGGGUAUUGUCACUUUGCAGUGUAGUAUGGCCAUCCUCUCAAGUCUUCUACUGUAGUGUGAGCAAUUUUCUUGACAGGGUGUGAGGCAAGGGGCCAUUCAGACUCUUCAGGACUAAGGCUACAUGGUUGGGAUAGUUGCAAGAGAAGGCUCUAGGUACAAUAUCUCUAAGCAUCAUCACACAAUGAACAUGGCUCUCGUCCAAUUCCAAAUAAUCAACUAUCUUUCAGUCUCCACAGAACACAAAUGGUGAAGCAAAUGUGACAACUGAGCGAAGAGCAGAGGGCUUGACAAUGUUUCUAUUUAGUAGCAUUAGAUUAACUACAAGAGAAAGACUACCAUGAAGAGAAUGACCAGUAAAUUGAAGCACCGUAUUUAUGUUGAUGGUCUAUGAUCUCUGGCAAUAAUUGCUUGUAAAUUCCUUUUGCAGCUUCGUAAAUUCCACUAUGAACAAGCACAUCUGUUCCCUGUGAGAAAGACGAUAAGAUUUUAGUGGUGUUAGCUGCUUUUCUCAUUCUAAUUGAAAGUUGCUCUGUCAGCUCA